GGAGUUGUGGCUCAGUGGUAGAGCGCUCGCCUUGCAUGUGUGAAACCCUGGGUUCAAUCCUCAGCACCA
rnacentral:tRNA from 1 species